UCUUAGCCCCGAUAGUAGCGGUAUCCUUAAUGUUCUUUCUUUAAGAACAUUAAGAUAAAGCGGAUAGCGGGAAUCAGC
rnacentral:sRNA from 1 species